CCUAUCAUAUCCCAAAGCACAUUUCCUCUUCUUUGCAUCUUUUGACCAUUAAUGGAGCUUUCUGGCUUUACUUUCUAUCAUUGUAAAUUUUCUUUUGAAGCGCCAUACCAGAUUUAUCCUAAAUCUGAGUUCAUUAGAGAAAAGUAAGAACUAUUGUUUUUGGCUAAACAUCCCUGGACUCAGAAAGAAAUGACCCAUCUUUACGAAAUCAAAUAUCUUUUUUGAUCAUUGACGACUGUGGGUUCAACUUCCGUCGGUACCUCUUCAAUCCAACAGGACGGGCUAGUAAGAUUUUACCCUCGAGCUGCAAGGGAGCGCGUUGCUUCAUUUUCCUUUCGAGGAGUAAAUUGAAAAGAUAAGUUAAGAAAUCUGGGUCUUUUUUUUUGGAUCAUUAAUAAUGUUGCCAAUCGCUGAUCUGUCCUCUAAGUCUGAUUUGAUUUUUUUUAACUAUUAGAUCUCGAAAACCCAUUUCUUCCCCAAAUAUUACUGCUUGAAGACACGUCUUUUCUUUUUUGAAGUGGUUGGAUCUCCAUUUCUUCCUAGUGGGUAAGUACAUGCUCCCAUCACAAGACCUUCAUGAUUUCUUAUAAUGAUUCCCGCUGUCGCUGUCAUGUCCUGUUGUAAAAAUGCUGCACCAAAAUUAGCUUUAACUUGUUCUGCCUUGGGGGUCUCCAGAAGCCCUCUUUUGGUUUAAUGUUGACCUCUCUUAUGGAUUUAAUUUGAUCUAAUUCUAGAAUAUAAGCUUUAAUAAAACCCACAACCUCCUAUACCCUUCUUUUUUUCCCUUCAUGGUAAUAUCUAUUUCUAUUGUACCAUACUUACCCAAAUUGAAAUUGCCAUAACUGCACACACAUUAAUGUUAUUGAUGCAAAAGAAAGAGGUUGACUAUUGUUUCCAUGUUUGUUUUGUGUUUAUGUGCUAGACGUCAACCCUGACCUCCUAUAAGACCUCUUUUGUGAAUUCGCAAUCUCGAAAAAGGUGUUCCACAAUUUUUUCUUCCAUUGAGCAGAUUGGACAAGCAUCAUCGUUCCUGAGUCUUCGAGUCUUUAGGUUACUAAGCGUUGGGAGAUAAUUGUUAGAAAAUCUCCAUAAAAGUAUUUUUAUUUUACUGGGAAUCGGGAGGUUCCAUAAUUUUGUAAAAUAAGCUUUUAUAUUAGUUUGGUCUGUAUAAUAAUCCUGUAGAUGAAGGGUAUUAGUCAUUAGCCAUUUAAAACCACUCUGAACUAUGUAUUUGCCCGAUUUGUACCCACGCCAUAUCAUAACAUCCUAUUGAGUCCUGAUUACCAAUGGAAUAGACAGGGUUGCCUUGGCUUGUUCCCUUUUUA
rnacentral:lncRNA from 1 species